AUGCUUGCUUCAUCAGCACAUAGACUAAAAUUGGAAUGAUACAGAGAAGUUUAGCAUGACCCCUGCACAAUGAUGACAUGCAAAUUCAUGAAGCAUUCCAUAAAAAA